GGGCCGGGGCUGGGCCGGGGCUGUGUGGGGGCUGAGGCCGUGUUGGGGUUGGGAUCGGGGUUUGGCCAGGGCUGGAUCGGGGCUGAGGCUGGGGCCGAGCCGAGCCGGGGCUAGGUUGGGGCUGAGGCCGGGGCUGGGUUGGGGCAGGCCCGCCGGCCCUGAGGCCCACACGCCCACGGGCCCUCAGGCUCGCAGCCCCGGGUAGCACCGAAUCCGCUGCCCCAAACCCCCGUCCCUCCCUCUCUUGCAGAGCAUCCCGAACCCCGUGGGGAGCUGCUGAGCAAAGCCAGAGAUGCUGGCUUUUGUGGGCAGAGAAUACGAGGAGGCACCGCUGACCCGCCUGUGCCCAGCUUAGGAGGGCCCCUGGAAGCCCCCGGCACUGUUGUUGCUGUAAAUUCCUCUGUUGGAAGGAAAGGCACCAGGAUGAGCUUAUCCAUGCAACAACCUCUGAUGAAGGUGCAGCCUCACUCACGUGCUUUUGUUCUCCUCCCAGUCAGAAAUCCCUUUGGAUCUCCUAAAACUAUUUCUCUGCCACAGAUAAAUGGAAGUGCUGUGCUUGCAAGGCUGGCUCUGGCAGGACAAGUCGAGCCACUGGAAGAGGAGAGGAAGGAGUGGAAAUCAGCAGGAACCCAGGUGCAAUAGCCAUAGAAGGUAAUAAAAAACCUUUUUCUUGUCUGAACUCAAGACAGGAGUGAA